rnacentral:rRNA from 1 species
GUAAGGAAUAUUGGACAAUGGACGCAAGUCUGAUCCAGCCAUGCCGCGUGAAGGAUUAAGGUCCUCUGGAUUGUAAACUUCUUUUAUAAGGGACGAAAAAAGGCUUUUCUAAGUCGUCUGACGGUACCUUAUGAAUAAGUACCGGCUAACUCCGUGCCAGCAGCCGCGGUAAUACGGAGGGUGCAAGCGUUAUCCGGAUUCACUGGGUUUAAAGGGUGCGUAGGCGGGCAGGUAAGUCAGUGGUGAAAUCCUAGAGCUUAACUCUAGAACUGCCAUUGAUACUAUCUGUCUUGAAUAUUGUGGAGGUAAGCGGAAUAUGUCAUGUAGCGGUGAAAUGCUUAGAUAUGACAUAGAACACCUAUUGCGAAGGCAGCUUACUACGCAUAUAUUGACGCUGAGGCACGAAAGCGUGGGGAUCAAACAGGAUUAGAUACCCCUGUAGUCC